CUCUCCCCUUUUCUGAUCUCUCCCUCCAUCUCUCCCCCUUUCUGAUCUUUCUCUGCUAUCUCCACCUCUGUUUAACCAUGUCUGGUGUAUAUUAGUUGGUAACAUGUUAGUAUAUGGGGCCUACACAAGGAAAACCUGACUCAUCCAUCAGCAUCUUCAUAAGCAUUACUGGGGAUGUAACUGCAGUGGGGGUGUUCAGGAGGGCAGCGCCCGGGUGGUGUUCAGGAGGGCAGCGCCCGGGGUGGUGUUCAGUGUUGCACCCUACUAAACACAUCCCUGGUGUUGACCAGUGGCAGUUCAUACCACCUGACUAAACUCUGAAACUAGGUCCCAAAUGUCUGCUUAUUCUCUAUGUAGUGGACUGCUUGGAUCACAGCCCUACAGACCCUGGUCUAAAGUAGUGCACUGCAUAUGGAGUAGGGGGCCAUUUGGGAUAACCUGAAUG
rnacentral:lncRNA from 13 species